CUUUCUAUAAUGCUCUGCAUAGACCUAAUUACCAAAGGAAUCAGACAUGGCAGAAGGAGACACAACAUCAAAAUCAGUAUGACUCCACCUACCAAUGCCUUGAUUCCUCCAAACUGCUCAUACCAACUACUCGGAUUAUACCCUUUCCAUACCUGAGUAGGUACAUGUGCUAGCUAAACCAUAUGGCUAGUAAGCUCAGCUAUUGCUUGCCCUUCAUCAUCUAUUUGAAGACAACAAUUGCUUAGAUUAAACUUCCCACAUACACCUCCCUCUACUGCUAAUAGGUAAUCCAAAGCUAAUCUAUUCUGGUAGAUGGCUGUCCUCAUCCUAGUGUUAUGCUUCGCUAGGAGAUUGAGCGCUUGUGAUGUUUCAUUGGUAACUAUCUCAACUACUGCUUGCAAUCUUAUAAUACGAUUAAGCAUAUAUAUUGGGGUUCUGUAUCCAUAAGUACCAUCCUCUGCCCACGUAGCUGGCCCAUAAUAAUCUAUAAUACGCUGGGGAGGCCACUCAUCAUCUUCCCAGGUACCUAUCUCUAGGGGUGCCCUUUUCUUCCUAUGAUUUACAUCAUAUACUUUAACUCCCAAAGUCUCUCCUGUUUCAAUUGGCAACAAGAAGAAGGAUGGUUUGAGCAUACCCAAUACACAUGCCCCUUUCCAGUCCUGUGGUAACUCCGAAUAUGCUUUCUUACCACAAAUCCAGUACAAAUUUGCUGGGGCUUUCCAACUAGAUGUAGCAGGUCAAACCAUACAUCCUUUAAACUGGUAUAAUUUGCAAACGGAUUAGACGGUUCUGAGACAUUUGAAGCUGACCACCAAAUAGUAUCCUUUGUAUCGUCAUUAUAGGCUUUCUGCCCUAAACAAGUCAAUUCUCCUACAGAUGUAUUAAACAUUAUUCCUUUCCUUGCUAUACAAACAUAACCUAUAAUGGAGGUCUUUAAGAUUUACCUCUAACACUCACUUGAUAAUCAG